AUGGAAAAAUGUGGGAUCCGCAAAUACCGUAUUAUGGAUAUUUUGUGCUUUCAAUAUGGUGGAUUUGAUAAGGUUGGAUGCAUAAAGAGGGACGUUUAUAAUUUCUGUCAUGCUAAUAAGCAGGAGACAAUCAGUGCCGGUGAUGCUAAUACGGUGAUCAUGCACAUGAUGGUGAGGCGAGAGCGAGAUGUGGAUUUUUUCUUCAAGUACUUGGUAGACGAGCAUGGCCAUCUAAAGGGACUGUUCUGGGCUGAUAGUCAGUCGCGACUUGACUACGAGGCUUUCGGAGACGUCAUUGUUUUCGAUAGCACAUACAGAACCAACAAAUACAAUCUGCCACUCGUGCCGUUUGUCGGGUUGAAUCACCACCGCAGCACUGUUAUUUUUGCUGUGGUAUAA
rnacentral:rRNA from 1 species